GAUUGCCUGAAAAGAUUUUAUUGAGUGUAAUAAGUAGUUGGUUAUAAGAUGUCCUUUCUUAAUUGUGUUAAAUAACAUUUAGUAUGAAUAUGCCACUGAAGUAGGAAUGAUGGCUUUCAUAAUUAUUAAAUGGUAAACAGGGAAGUAAGAUUUUUAUUUGAGUGGGAUACAGUUACUUUAGUAAAAGAAAAUUGAAUUUUGGUUGUCAGAUGCCCAAGUCCGAGAAGCAGACCACCAGUCCAAGCCAUAUGGUGUCACGAAGGCCCAAGGUUCCAAUUCCAGCAAGAGCAAACAGCGCAAGGAACCGCCAGCUCUUGCCACUGCAGAACUGAAGCGGUCUCCAAAGAAAAGCUGUCAUAGAAAUCCAUCAUUAUCGUCGACUUUUUUAUUGGUUGCUCCCCUCCGCUCCACCUCGCCCUGUCCCCUCAGCGGGAUGGUGGCCGAGCGAAAGAAGAUGUUCGAACCUUAAACAGUAGGAUGCUUGUUCGAGCGAUGUCUGAAGA